CAAGUUAGGCGUACAUAUCUUGCCCCUGGCAUUUCCCUGGACGUUAGCGAUGAUCCGAAAGGUAGCGACGAUACUUGGACCAGCAGCGCUGGCGUUCCCUGAUCAGGAUGGCGUUGCUGGU
rnacentral:ncRNA from 1 species